GAAUAUUGGACAAUGGGGGGGACCCUGAUCCAGCCAUGCCGCGUGUGUGAAGAAGGCCUUUUGGUUGUAAAGCACUUUAAGUUGGGAGGAAGGGCAGUAAGCGAAUACCUUGCUGUUUUGACGUUACCGACAGAAUAAGCACCGGCUAACUCUGUGCCAGCCGCAGCGGUAAUACAGAGGGUGCCAGCGUUAAUCGGAAUUACUGGGCGUAAAGCGCGCGUAGGUGGUUCGUUAAGUUGGAUGUGAAAUCCCCGGGCUCAACCUGGGAACUGCAUCCAAAACUGGCGAGCUAGAGUAGGGCAGAGGGUGGUGGAAUUUCCUGUGUAGCGGUGAAAUGCGUAGAUAUAGGAAGGAACACCAGUGGCGAAGGCGACCACCUGGGCUCAUACUGACACUGAGGUGCGAAAGCGUGGGGAGCAAAC
rnacentral:rRNA from 1 species